CGGAUUUCCUGCGACCGACCCUCUCGGGUUCCGUCGCCAGCCCCCGCCGAGGCCGGGCAGAGCCGCGGAGACGUUAGCUGAUGAAAGGCCCCCCUCGGCCCAGGCUCCAUCCACUAGGCCACGCUGCCUGCCUUUCCCCGCCGAACACCUCUCGAGAUCUCUUAGCAAGUUCCGACAAGCCCCACGGGGGUGUUGUCCAUCGCGGCCAAGAGACCCAAGACGUCAUCUCGCGCCUCCGUUGGGAGAGGAGUGCGUCAAGCAGCGGCGUUCCGGGGGACCGGGAGAGGGGCUGCCGAGGAGGAACCCGGGAAUGGAGACGGUGACAUUCCGGCCCGGAGAAGGGACCGGUAGGAGAAACCCCACCGCGCUCACAGUUCAGUGGUUCCUGCGUCGUCCGGACGGUUCCCCUUUCUCCGCUCCUCCUUGACCUAAGAGAUCACGGGCACCUCAUAACUACCUCCUCUUGUAAUAACCGUGGCGUCUGUUAAGCGUUUACUCCGGGCCGGGCUCUGUACUAAGCGCCGGGGUGGAUACAAGCAGAUCGGGGUUAGAUACGGGAUUAGAAGCCAGGACCUGCGGACUCCCCGGCCCGGGCUCCAUCCGCUACGUCUCCUGUCCCCGGCUUUCUCUGAGACCCGCAGAGGCAGC